UACGUAGGGUGCGAGCGUUGUCCGGAAUUAUUGGGCGUAAAGAGCUCGUAGGCGGUGUGUCGCGUCGGCCGUGAAAACCUGCAGCUUAACUGUGGGCUUGCGGUCGAUACGGGCAUCACUGGAGUUCGGCAGGGGAGACUGGAAUUCCUGGUGUAGCGGUGAAAUGCGCAGAUAUCAGGAGGAACACCGGUGGGCGAAGGCGGGUCUCUGG
rnacentral:rRNA from 1 species